rnacentral:rRNA from 1 species
UACGUAGGGGGCAAGCGUUGUCCGGAAUCAUUGGGCGUAAAGCGCGCGUAGGCGGCUAGAUCAGUCUGCUGUAAAAGUCAAAGGCUCAACCUUUGAAAGCCGGUGGAUACUGUCUAGCUAGAGUCCGGAAGAGGCGAGUGGAAUUCCUGGUGUAGCGGUGGAAUGCGCAGAUAUCAGGAGGAACACCAACGGCGAAGGCAGCUCGCUGGGCCACUACUGACGCUGAGAAGCGAAAGCAUGGGGAGCGAACAGG